CUAUAACAAAGAGAAGCGAGACGGAGACGUUAAGCGAAACCCAAAAAAGUAGUCUCAGUUCGGAUUGAAGGCUGAAAUUCGCCUUCAUGAAGCCGGAAUUGCUAGUAAUGGCAGGUCAGCAUACUGCCGUGAAUACGUUCCCGGGCCUUGUACACACCGCCCGUCACACCAUGGGAGCCGGUAAUACCCGAAGUCAGUAGUCCAACCACGUGAGGACGCUGCCGAAGGUAGGAUUGGCGACUGGGGUGAAGUCGUAACAAGGUAUC
rnacentral:rRNA from 1 species